rnacentral:rRNA from 1 species
UACGGAGGGGACUAGCGUUGUUCGGAAUUACUGGGCGUAAAGCGCACGUAGGCGGAUUUGUAAGUCAGGGGUGAAAUCCCGGGGCUCAACCUCGGAACUGCCUUUGAUACUGCAAAUCUCGAGUCCGGAAGAGGUGAGUGGAAUUCCUAGUGUAGAGGUGAAAUUCGUAGAUAUUAGGAAGAACACCAGUGGCGAAGGCGGCGCACUGGUCCGGUACUGACGCUGAGGUGCGAAAGCGUGGGGAGCAAACAGG